UACAGAGGUCCCAAGCGUUGUUCGGAUUCAUUGGGCGUAAAGGGUGUGUAGGUGGCGCCGUAAGUCGGGUGUGAAAUCUCGGGGCUUAACUCCGAAACUGCAUUCGAUACUGCGGUGCUCGAGGACUGGAGAGGAGACUGGAAUUCAUGGUGUAGCAGUGAAAUGCGUAGAGAUCAUGAGGAAGACCAGUGGCGAAGGCGGGGCUCUGGACAGUGCCUGACACUGAGACACGAAGGCCAGGGGAGCAAACGGG
rnacentral:rRNA from 1 species